rnacentral:rRNA from 1 species
CAGUCGCCGCGGUAAUACGUAGGGUGCGAGCGUUAAUCGGAAUUACUGGGCGUAAAGCGUGCGCAGGCGGUUGUGUAAGACAGGUGUGAAAUCCCCGGGCUUAACCUGGGAACUGCGCUUGUGACUGCACAGCUAGAGUAUGGCAGAGGGGGGUGGAAUUCCACGUGUAGCAGUGAAAUGCGUGGAGAUGCGGAGGAACACCGAUGGCGAAGGCAGCCCCCUGGGCCAAUACUGACGCUCAUGCACGAAAGCGUGGGGAGCAAACAGGAUUAGAUACCCCCGUAGUCCCUGUCUCUUAUAC